rnacentral:rRNA from 1 species
GGGAGAAUCCUGAAUUCGAAAGGGGUUGGAUUCAAGUCCAUCCGGUUGCAUAACAGGCUGCCUGGCCCCGCCAGAUGGUGCCGGUCGCCCGCGGCGAUUCAUUUCGCUUGCGGUGUCGUUCCCGGCGAUCACUCGGUGGGGUGGCGUGAACUCUGGCAAUGGAGGAGUGCACUUCCCCCCUAGUAGAAACGUCGCGACCCGUUGGGUGCCGGUCUAAGGCCCGGGAUGGUAGACCAUGUGUCCUGGGGGGGA